rnacentral:rRNA from 1 species
UACGAAGGGGGCUAGCGUUGUUCGGAAUUACUGGGCGUAAAGCGCACGUAGGCGGAUAUUUAAGUCAGGGGUGAAAUCCCGGGGCUCAACCCCGGAACUGCCUUUGAUACUGGGUAUCUCGAGUCCGAGAGAGGUGAGUGGAAUUCCGAGUGUAGAGGUGAAAUUCGUAGAUAUUCGGAGGAACACCAGUGGCGAAGGCGGCUCACUGGCUCGGUACUGACGCUGAGGUGCGAAAGCGUGGGGAGCAAUCAGG